AUGGUUGGCAUGCUAGCUGUGAGUCUAGCUCAUGUAACUUCCAAGGAGAAGAUUCAGUUUAUGGGAUUGUAUCGUCGCUCGUGGUCUGAAGUUCUUGGCACAGAGAUCUCCAGUCCGAGGACACACAAAUUCGACAUGGUUAACAAAAUCCCAGCUCCUUGGGAUGAACAGAAGAAGAACAUGACACUGAAAUCACAAGGCCAAGAACAUCUCUUCUCCAAGGCCACACUGAUGCACUCUGUGAGUUUCAAACAGUGGCGAGGAGGAGAGGAAUCCACAGGUUCAGUUCAGAAUAAGAGCAAACAGAGCUUGGUAAAUGGCAUCCAAGACCGACGCAACUCUGACGCAUUGAGCCCCAAUGUUUCAUCCAGCCCCAAAUGUGAGCUUGAUGCCGCAGCCGUGAAACUUCAAAAGGUUUACAAGAGUUACCGGACCAGGCGAAACCUCGCCGACUGCGCAGUCGUCGUAGAGGAGCUAUGGUGGAAAGCACUGGACUUUGCAUCACUGAAGCACAGCUCGAUAUCGUUCUUCAACGGCGGGAAGCCCGAAACAGCGGCGUCGCGGUGGGCGAGGGCAAGGACAAGAGCGGCUAAGGUUGGCAAGGGGUUAUCUAAGAACGGGAAGGCUCAGAAGCUGGCAUUGCAGCACUGGCUCGAAGCUAUUGACCCUAGGCAUCGAUAUGGGCACAAUUUGCAUAUCUAUUAUGAUGUCUGGUCCAGGAGUGAGAGUACGGAGCCCUUUUUCUAUUGGUUAGACAUUGGGGAGGGCAAAGAAAUAAAUCUUGAGAAUUUCCCUAGGAGUAAACUUCAGGGGCAGUGCGUCAAGUACCUUGGACCACAAGAGAGGCAACACUAUGAAGUUGUUAUUGAGUGUGGCAAACUUAUGUUCCAAGAAACCGGGGUUCUUGUGCACACUUCGGAUGACUCCAAGUGGAUUUUUGUCCUCAGCACCACAAAGGCAUUCUAUGUUGGCCAGAAGAAGAAAGGAUCGUUUCAGCACUCCAGUUUCCUAGCUGGUGGAGCCAUAACAUGUGCUGGACGAUUGGUGGUCAAAGAUGGAAUUCUGAAGGCAAUAUGGCCAUACAGUGGCCACUACCUUCCAACGGAAGACAACUUCAGAGAUUUCAUUCGCUUCCUUGAGGAGAACCACGUUAGCCUCACCGAUGUCAAGAAAUCUGCUAUCGACAAACCUGACGAGUACCCGUUGCUGAGCAACUCUGACAAUCAGCCUGAACAUGUUGAGAAUAACGAGCCAGCAGGUGCCGCUGCUCAAGAUCUGACCGAAGUUGAGAUAGACGGCGUCCUCACUGGCGAGGCAUAUCAUGGAUCGGCCGACCACGGUGACAUGAGCGAUGCUGAGGAAGAUGCCGGCACUCCGGUGGACUCCCACACCACCGACACCGAAGAAGAAGAAGAAGAAGAAGAGGUCAAUAAUAUCUCAGAGCAGCGGCCGCCGGCGAGUGUCGAUCGUAGCAAGAACCAUCAGACGUGCCGGUGGUCGACGGGCACCGGUCCACGCAUCCGGUGCGUGCGCGACUACCAGCAGGACCUCCAGUCCAGGGCCCUCGAGCACGUCAACCUCUCGCCCAGGCUCGCCGGCUCGCCGUCGAGGAAGAGGGACCCGGUGCCCUCGCCGCGCCCCAGCCCGGGGAUGAUACUCUCGCCGAGGCUCGCGUCCGUCGGGUUCCAGCCUCGGACGGUGUCUCUCACGCUCCCAGACUUCAAGAGGAGCAGAUUGCAGUGA
rnacentral:rRNA from 1 species